AGACAAUGAGCUUGAUAAAGCAUAAAUUUUGAAAAUUUAAGAUAGAAUUUCACUUCUAUUGUCUU
rnacentral:tRNA from 1 species